CCUACGGGAGGCAGCAGUAAGGAAUAUUGGUCAAUGGGCGCAAGCCUGAACCAGCCAUGCCGCGUGCAGGAUGACGGCCCUCUGGGUUGUAAACUGCUUUUAUACGGGAAGAACAGCAUCUACGUGUAGGUGUUUGACGGUACUGUAAGAAUAAGGACCGGCUAACUUCGUGCCAGCAGCCGCGGUAAUACGAAGGGUCCAAGCGUUAUCCGGAUUUAUUGGGUUUAAAGGGUGCGUAGGCGGCUUUUUAAGUCAGUGGUGAAAGCCUGAUGCUCAACAUCAGAACUGCCAUUGAUACUGAAGAGCUUGAGUACAGUUGAGGUUGGCGGAAUGUGUCAUGUAGCGGUGAAAUGCUUAGAUAUGACACAGAACACCGAUUGCGAAGGCAGCUAGCUAAGCUGUUACUGACGCUGAUGCACGAAAGCGUGGGGAGCAAACAGGAUUAGAUACCCUGGUAGUCCACGCCCUAAACGUUGAUAACUCGUUGUUAGCGAUAUACUGUUAGCGACCAAGCGAAAGCAUUAAGUUAUCCACCUGGAAGUACGGUCGCAAGAUUGAAACUCAAAUGAAUUGACGGCUGAGAGNGCGAGGACGACACGAGGGGAGGAGG
rnacentral:rRNA from 1 species